GACGAACCGUCCAAACGUUGUUCGGAAUCACUGGGCUUAAAGGGCGCGUAGGCGGGUGACCAAGUCCGGGGUGAAAUCUUUCGGCUUAACCGGAAAACUGCCUUGGAUACUGGUCGUCUCGAGGGAGGUAGGGGUCUGUGGAACUGAUGGUGGAGCGGUGAAAUGCGUUGAUAUCAUCAGGAACGCCGGUGGCGAAAGCGACGGACUGGACCUUCACUGACGCUGAGGCGCGAAAGCUAGGGGAGCAAACGGG
rnacentral:rRNA from 1 species